ACGACAUGGAAGAUGAUGUUGUGCAUCUUUACAUGUGACAAGGAAACCAUCGGGUGUGUUAUGAUCGAGAGAAGUUGAAGUUGGACUUCUUUUUUGUUUGUUCCUGCUUCUUCAUGAACCUUUUCGUGCACGUUCUGUGGUGUCUUGCAGGAGCUGAAUUUUAGUCUUACUUAAUUUCACUUGAAUGCUUAGACGAUUAUGCAGGCGUUCAGUGUCCUUUACAAGGCUUUGGGCCUUACUCCUG
rnacentral:lncRNA from 1 species